rnacentral:lncRNA from 1 species
CUGGAUUAUACACAUUCUGCACCUAAUAUUACACUUUAUUUAAAGUUAAUUUCCUUUCUAUAGGUAUAUAUGUAAUAAAUACUGGAAGAACAGCAGCCCUGGUUCCAGCUCUGGCUCUUGGCUGAGUAAAAUAUAGUGUUACCAGAACUUUAUCCGGAGCUCCGCUCUGACUCUUGCUUGGCGAGGCGCGGAGGACAGGUCAGUCCGGGCGUGGUCAGCUCGGCUGUGGGCAGGCUGAGCCGGGUCAGGCCGGGCGCUGAUGUGUGCUGUGUGGCCGGUGCGGAGCCUCCCUGAUGCAGGUGAGUGUGGAGCCCGUCCGGCUCCCGCAGGCCGGCUCUGUCUCCUCACAGCAGUGCCAUGGCGCCUUCAGCACCACUUACGGAGCAAAGUUGGAGAAACGCCCGGCGGAGCCUCAGCGCGCUUCCCCAUGGAGGAGGCUGAAGAUCCGGCAUCCCGUCCCGGCCACUACCAUGAGCUCCAGCCGCGACAGGGACCAGAGCCUGAAGAAAAAGCUCCUGAAAGAACCCGACAGAUACAUUUGCUCAGUUCCUGUCCAGCUCACCCGUAGUGUUGACAGAGGCCUAUCGAGUGACCAAAGCGUCUCGGCGUGCUCGAGCUCCUCCGCUGGUGGCGUCAGCCCAGUGAGCCGCCUCACCUCCUGUUCGGGCAGCGCUGGCUGUGCCACAGGCUUCUCCACCGAACACAGCUCCAUUUACUCCUGGAGAUACGAUGUAAGAAUGAUUACACCAUCUGCUCCUUCACCAUGUCUCAUGACUAUUCUGUAUAUGUGAUAUUCAGUAAACAAGGAAAAAAAGGCAACAACUCGAGUAAUCCCUCGGAAACGCAGUGACGUGAUUAGCGGUUUACACCCUAAAGGCCCGUGUGUGGGCGAGUAUAUCAAUU